UGCCCAGCAACUCCUAUCCCUACCUCCUCGCGGUACCGGCCGGAAAGUAUGAGCAACCUUUCGGGUAACCAACCCCGGUAGGAACUUUAGUCGUAGGCUGACAGGGAAGG
rnacentral:ribozyme from 1 species